rnacentral:misc_RNA from 1 species
GAUGAAGAACGUAGCGAAAUGCGAUAAGUAAUGUGAAUUGCAGAAUUCAGUGAAUCAUCGAAUCUUUGAACGCACAUUGCGCCCCCUGGUAUUCCGGGGGGCAUGCCUGUCCGAGCGUCAUUACAACCCUCAAGCUCAGCUUGGUGUUGGGCCCCCCGCCCCGGCGGGCCCUAAAGUCAGUGGCGGUGCCGUCCGGCUCCGAGCGUAGUAAUUCUUCUCGCUCUGGAGGUCCGGUCGUGUGCUCGCCAGCAACCCCCAAUUUUUUUCAGGUUGACCUCGGAUCAGGUAGGGAUACCCGCUGAACUUAAGCAUAUCAAUAAGCGGAGGA